CAUAAUCAUUAGUCUUUUAAUUUGAGACUGGUAUGAAAGGUUAGACUGAGUAAUUUUGUCUUAUAGUAAUAUUUUGAAUUUUAUAGUUUAGUAAAAAGGCUAAAAUUUAUCUUGGGGACGAGAAGACCCUAUCAAGCUUUACAAAUAUAGGUUGUAUGUCUCUUGCAAUUUAAGUUUGUUUUACUGGGGCAGUAAAUGAGUAAAUUCUCAUCUUAAUAUUGUGAAAAUUGAACUUGAGAAAUCGGAAUAUUUUCUAAAUACAAAUAAGUUACUGUAGGGAUAACAGCGUAAUUCUUUUUGAGAGUUCUUAUCAUCAAAAGAGUUUGCGACCUCGAUGUUGGAUCAAAAUUCCUAAUUCGCGCAAUAG
rnacentral:rRNA from 1 species